rnacentral:sRNA from 1 species
GCUGGGCAUAGUGGCGUGCGCCUGUAGUCCCAGCUACUCGGGAGGCUGAGGCAGGAGAAUUGCUUGAACCCAGGAAGUGGAGGUUGCGAUGAGCCGAGAUCGCACCAUUGCACUCCAGCCUGGGUAGUGAGCGAAACUCCGUCUCAAAAAAAAAAAAAAAAAAAAAAAGAUGAAUUCUUGCUCUGUUGCCCAGGCUGGAGUGCAGUGGUGUGAUCUUAGCUCACUGCAACCUCUGCCUCCUGGGUUCAAGCAAUUCUUGUGCCUCAG